rnacentral:rRNA from 1 species
AGGGUUUGAUUAUGGCUCAGGAUAAACGCUGGCGGCGCACAUAAGACAUGCAAGUCGAACGGACUUAAUCGAAAUAUUUAUAUUUUGAAGCGGUUAGUGGCGGACUGGUGAGUAACGCGUAAGGAACCUGCCUAUUAGAGGGGAAUAACAGUGAGAAAUCAUUGCUAAUACCGCAUAUGCCAUAGAUAUCACAUGAUAACAGUGGGAAAGGAGCAAUCCGCUAAUAGAUGGCCUUGCGUCUGAUUAGAUAGUUGGUGGGGUAACGGCCUACCAAGUCGACGAUCAGUAGCCGGACUGAGAGGUUGAACGGCCACAUUGGGACUGAGAUACGGCCCAG